UGGUUGUGACCCUUCGGUCAUGGUCAUACGUGUCUGUGGAGUGCUCAGCCACUUGCCGUUAAUUUUACGCGAAGACUGUUCCGUUGAGCGGGUCAACUGGAAUACUCGUCGUCGUGACCGACGGAG